rnacentral:rRNA from 1 species
AGCGAACGCUGGCGGCAGGCCUAACACAUGCAAGUCGAACGAACCUUUCGGGGUUAGUGGCGGACGGGUGAGUAACACGUGGGAACGUGCCUUUAGGUUCGGAAUAACUCAGGGAAACUUGUGCUAAUACCGAAUGUGCCCUUCGGGGGAAAGAUUUAUCGUCUUUAGAGCGGCCCGCGUCUGAUUAGCUAGUUGGUUGAGGUAAUGGCUCACCAAGGCGACGAUCAGUAGCUGGUCUGAGAGGAUGAUCGGCCACAUUGGGACUGAGACACGGCCCAAACUCCUACGGGAGGCAGCAGUGGGGAAUCUUGCGCAAUGGGCGAAAGCCUGACGCAGCCAUGCCGCGUGAAUGAUGAAGGUCUUAGGAUUGUAAAAUUCUUUCACCGGGGACGAUAAUGACGGUACCCGGAGAAGAAGCCCCGGCUAACUUCGUG